AGUGCCACAGCAAGCCCUGAUGUCUGAAAAAAGAAGUGCCAACGUUCAGAUGCAUCUCAAAUAAUAAAAAACAGGUGGCAUGUCAGAGAUCUGCACGAAGGAAUGGUUUUAUCAUACUAAGAUGCCUUUAACUGAUGAAUGUUCAGUCAGUGCAGAAAUCACUGAAAGAAGUGGUACAAACUACAAAAUUAAAUGUUUACAGCUACUAUCAGAUUACUGUAGCCAAAGAGGCUGAAACUGAGUCAUAGGCAGACAGCAUGGGAUAAAACUCCAAAGGUCUGUGGAGAAGCCAAUUCAUAAAGCGGGAUAUGGAACUGUUUAACAAGGUACAAAUUUAGCAUUUUCAUGAGGAUAAAGAUAAGCCAACCACACAUUACUAAGCAACCAUACAGAUUAAAGUCAAGAGUAUUGCUUCAACAAAGCAUCACCAUUGAAAUCUCCAAAUAUACUGCGUAAAAAUUUAAAAAUUAUUUUAGAAAGUUUUAAAAUAUUUGUGCAGUGGAUUGAAUUGUCCUGGGAGAUGCAGAGCUUCUCCUUUCUAGGCUACUAGUUAAACCACUUUCAAGUUUCAAAAACUAAUGAUGUAUCUGUUCACAGGCAUAAUUAUUAAGAAACACUGAUGAAGGCAGGAAGAGGAGAUGUUCUGGGCAUUAUUUUAUACAACAGUUCACAGAAAGAAAAAAAAGCUGGAAAACUGCAACUGAUGAUAAGACACAAGUGUAUGUCCAUGGAAAAUUGCUAUUUGGUAUUUGUGUUCUUGUAAAAGUAGAAUAAAGUUAACAACCAAAGUAAACUCCCUUUUAAGACACAUUUAAAUGCUGUAAUUUGUAGUCCUAGACAAACAUUUCGUUGUCUGGCACAAAGUACUUUUCCUAUGCAGGCUCAUUCUGCUCUGGGUGCUGCAUACGCCCAUGCCUCUCCUGACUGAGCUCUUAAUGCACUGCACCAGGUCAACCAACCAGAGCACCCCAGGGCACCACGGGUGAUGCAAUUAAUCUAAAAAACCUCACACAGAAAUUACUUAUGAAGCCACUUCCAGAGAGAAAGCUGACUCACUUCAGUGCAUAGGUCAAUCUCUGACAGAUGAGCACCUUCUCCCAGGAGGAAGUUGGGCACACCUUGGGGUGUAGGGACUUUGGAGCCCUCCUGCUGCGACCCAUGUUGCACAAGCACUUGGAUACACCAGUACAGCCAGCCCCCAGACACAGCCCUGGGCAAAGUCUGCCUCAGACUCACUCUGCAGGCACUUUGUCUAGUUUUACUCAGUCUGCAGCAGCGCUGUGUGAAGUGCAGUGCGUCACAUUUUCCCCACCCUUCUGCACGCCUAUCAGUGCAACUCCAAGCUUCACCAAAGAGACAAAAACUGUAGUGAAUCACUUGCGAUUCUGAUUCUUGCGAGUUACAGAUCUUUUCCUGCGUUCCCGCAUGGAUGUGGGAAGCUUUCUUGCAUUCCCUUUAAAAUAGCAUGUCCACAGGGAACAGGCAUUGUACAUGGGUGUUAUCAGAUACCCAUCUCAGUAUCUCCAUGAAAUAGUAACUACUUUAAAGUAUAUUGCAGAGUUUGCAGAAUUUUUAUGUUCACACUCCAGGGGUUAUUUUAAUGAGACUAAAAAGUUAAGAAACCAUUAUGGAAAAACUCCAGCUUCAGACAAACUAAGGGAGCAGGUAAGACUUCUGACAUCAUGGACAUUGAGAGUCUGAAUCUGCAAACCAGAAAUACAAAUAAAGUGUAAUGUUUUGCACUGUUUCUGAUUAUAAAUGCAUUUAAAUUGUUGCUCAGCACUCAGAAUAUUCUAGUAUGUCAUUCGUCGGUGAAGUUAAGGUCAAGGAUAUACUACUCUACAGCUGGGGGAGGAGGUGUCAGUAAAACAUCUUUAAGCAGAACUAAAACUGUUAGAAAGAGCCUGUUUCUACCAUACUUAAGUUCAACAGAGCACACCAGAGAAACUAUAAAGCAGGCGUAUACAUCAUCAACUCACUGCCUUUCCCCUGCACCAGAUGGUAUAGUGUUUUGUUCAACUUAUUUGAAGCCUGCUUCAAAUGCCUUUAAAGGGUUUAAAAAUUCUGUAAUGGGAGAGAAAAGUUCUAUUAGAAAAAGCAUAUAGGAAACCUGAAGUCUGCCAGUGCAUUAUCUAGCAGACAGUUUUUUUGAGAAAUGUGAAGAUGUGAGGCUCUUCAGGGGAGUAGAGAGAAACAGGGAGGAACUUUGUGAAAGGAGAUGUAUGCCUUCCUUUUCAGGAACAGCUGGAGUACUCCAUUCUUGAAAAAACUCAUUUUCCAGAAAAAAAAAAACCAACACACCUGUAUGUGACAAAUGGCUGUUUAUGCUGUAUCCACUUUAACUUAACAUUGUUGAAAUCAGCCAGUUACAAGGUUGUAAAAUAUUAUCCUUAGGCAAGCUUUCAGGUUAAAACAUGUGGGAUGAGUAAGAGAUGAGCAAGAGAACUCACCGACUUGUGCUGAGUUUCCAGAGAGCUUGAAACAGGCAUUUACAAUUUAAAAAAGGAAGAGAUUCAGUAGUUCUCAUAAAAAUAACAUUAGAAACUUAAUUAAGAAUAAGCUUCAGGUUUUUGACUGGAUGAUGUGGCAAUCUAUGUAUUUGCAUCAUAUAUUUGCUGAUACCAUAUCCUUUAGGCAGACCAGGUAUGACAUUUACUUCUGCCAGUCUCAUUAACCCUCCCGCUCCUUGUGAAUACCUUAUAUUUUACCUUAUAUUCAUAGCUAAGGGAAAUAAAGUUCCAUUGCAGCUAUGCUUAUAUACAGAAACAUCAACAGGCACUGAAGGAACAUGAAUAAAUCCAAGUAGAGAGCUUCCUAGUAAAAGCAUUUGCUUAGCCACCCCCCACCCAGGAUAAAUUUAUACAUUCUCACGUACAGGUCCCAGAAAGAUACAAAAGAUCUAGAUCAGUUUGGUGUGCUGGUUUGCAUUUGUUGGUUGGGGUUUUUUAAAUCAACAGAAUAAAAUUGUAAUUCUGGGUAAGAGAAGCGUGUGAUGUAUCAGCCAAAUGUCUUGUUUCCCAAAGGGAGUAAAAUCCACAUCUGUAACGCAAAGUCCAGUCCUUCACUGCUUUCUGAGAGAAGUUGGAAACAUUUCCACAGCUGGCUCAUCUCACCCCUGCCUGCACCAUCACUGCACCUCUUGGAUGUCUGAUUCCUGUUACGGUUUCUUCCACUAUUCAUCCCUACCUCCUCAGGAGUGAAUUCCGCAUACUGACUUUAGGACACUGCUCCUUCUUUCUUAAGUUCACUGCCAAGGCAAUUACAAUUACUGACAAUUUCAUAAAAGCAGCACAUGAGUAUCAUGUUAAAACAGACAUUGCUGGAUGAAAAAAGUAAUUUUAAAACAAAUCUGAGAUCUGUAGCACGAUUAUCAAACUGUUUAAAUGCUUUGUGCUAUUUAUGCUAUUACUACAAUUUUUUUCAUGACAGACAACAAGAAGUUUCUGAAUUGCCGAUAGCAACAAUGAACAAAUUAUUGCUGAAAGGUCUUUUCCAACCUAAAUGACUCUAUGAUUCUAUUCUAUGAAAGAACACUGAUCCUGCUGUUGGUUCUUUUUAGCCAUGGAAAUUCAAACCACGCCUUUGUUAAGACCUACUCUAAUAAAGAUUUACGCAUUUUGA